rnacentral:rRNA from 1 species
AUUGAACGCUGGCGGCAGGCCUAACACAUGCAAGUCGAGCGAGCGGCGGGCGGGUGAGUAAUAUCUGGGGAACUGCCUGAUGGAGGGGGAUAACUACUGGAAACGGUAGCUCAUACAGCAUACCAUCAGAUGUGCCCCGAUGGGAUUAGCUAGUAGGUGGGGUAACGGCUCACCCAGGCGACGAUCCCUAGCUGGUCUGAGAGGAUGACCAGCCACACUGGAACUGAGACACGGCCCAGACUCCUACGGGAGGCAGCAGUGGGGAAUAUUGGACAAUGGGCGAAAGCCUGAUGCAGCCAUGCCGCGUGUGUGAAGAAGGCCUUCGGGUUGUAAAGCACUUUCAGCGGGGAGGCGUUACCCGCAGAAGAAGCACCGGCUAACUCCGUGCCAGCAGCCGCGGUAAUAC